CAAUAGCGUAUAUUAAAGUUGUUGCAGUUAAAAAGCUCGUAGUUGGAUUUCUGGUAGGAGCGACCGUGCCGAACUUGAUUGUUCGAGUAUUGUGUUGUCUUCAGCCGUCCUCGUGGAGAACUUUUCUAACAUUAACUUGUUGGGAUUGGGACCCGCGUCGUUUACUGUGAAAAAAUUAGAGUGUUUAAAGCAGGCAUUAGCUUGAAUACAUUAGCAUGGAAUAAUAAGAUAGGACUUUGGUACUAUUUUGUUGGUUUGCAUACCAAAUUAAUGAUCAACAGGAACAGUUUGAGGAUAUUCGUAUGAACAUGUCAGAGGUGAAAUUCUUGGAUUUUGAUCAGACGAACUACUGCGAAAGCAUUUAUCAAGGAUGUUUUCAUUAA
rnacentral:rRNA from 1 species